AUCAAAAAGAAAAGAAAAGAAAAGAGGGGGAAGGAAGGGUUCUGUGAAGAGGAACUCUCCUCUCUCCUUUCUCUCCUUUCUCUCUUUUCUCUCCUUUCUCUCUCUCU
rnacentral:ribozyme from 13 species